GCCGGGGUGGCUUAGUUGGUAGAGCGUCGGACUCAUAAUCCGAAGGUCGCGGGUUCAAGCCCCGCUCCCGGCA
rnacentral:tRNA from 1 species